AAAAUACUUCCUCUGUUUGGAAAUGCUUGUCCUAGAAAUGGUUGUAUCUGAACUUGUUUUAGUUUUAGAUACAACCAUUUCUAAGACAACUAUUUCCGGACGGAGAGAGUAGAAG
rnacentral:pre_miRNA from 1 species